rnacentral:rRNA from 1 species
GUAAUANGUAGGUGGCAAGCGUUNUCCGGAAUUAUUGGGCGUAAAGGGCUNGCNGGCGGUUUNUUAAGUCUGAUGUGAAAGCCCCCGGCUCAACCGGGGAGGGUCAUUGGAAACUGGGAAACUUGAGUGCAGAAGAGGAGAGUGGAAUUCCACGUGUAGCGGUGAAAUGCGUAGAGAUGUGGAGGAACACCAGUGGCGAAGGCGACUCUCUGGUCUGUAACUGACGCUGAGGAGCGAAAGCGUGGGGAGCGAACAGGAUUAGAUACCCUGGUAGUCCACGCCGUAAACGAUGAGUGCUAAGUGUUAGGGGGUUUCCGCCCCUUAGUGCUGCAGCUAACGCAUUAAGCACUCCGCCUGGGGAGUACGGUCGCAAGACUGAAACUCAAAGGAAUUGACGGGGGCCCGCACAAGCGGUGGAGCAUGUGGUUUAAUUCGAAGCAACGCGAAGAACCUUACCAGGUCUUGACAUCCUCUGACAACCCUAGAGAUAGGGCUUUCCCUUCGGGGACAGAGUGACAGGU